GUACUGUUGGUCUCUCUUCCGAUAGACCAAGCACGGGUACGGAGUAGAUGGAGUUAAACACCUUUUAAGUUGACAGAACGAGGAGACAAAUGAUCAGAAGUCCAUUCACUGUUUCGCCGCUCAUGAGGGGGAGAGUCUCUGCAGCAAGUCCCGCGACCUGCUCUUGCCAGAUGCUUCGGACAGACUCUCGCCGUUCUGCUGAAAACGGCUGAUUUUUAUUGAAGAUUACAGGAAUGUUACAUACGUAGUUUGCCAUACACACACGUAAUUCUGCCAUCUGCACCUGCAGACGCACGUCAGCUAAUAGCCUUGUUAAUGAAAGACCAAUUCAUCCCAAGGACAUGCAACCUUGAGAUGAUCAGGACACAUCCUGCAACAUCCUUUGCUAACAAAGACAGUUGUUCUUGUAUUGAGGAACUGAAGGAAGGAACGCUUUCACUCCCUUAUGCAGCUGUUCAGCUUGAGCAGAAAAGGCACAGAGAGGUCUUUGAUAUUAUAACAAGAUUCCAUGAAAAGGCAUAUAAUAAUGUAUUUAUGAUAAUAUAUAAGGGGCAAAAGUGAGAGAUACAUAUUUAAUCAUAUAAAAGAGCUUAUAAUAAUAUAUGAAAGAGCUUAUAUGAGAGAUAUAUAUUUUCAAUCCCCCUUUUGAACUCUUUUAAGAGUUCAAUAAAGAUAUAAGAAAUCAAAACAAUAACACCAAAUUCCAUCAAAAAGAAUCCAAUAAGCAAAGUUUUUUUAAAAUACCAAUACAAACAACCAAUCAGAUUACAUUUACUCAUCUCUCUAGCAGUAAACUAAUACAAAAAACAUGAUUAUACUUUCAACUGAACAUGUCACAACAUGUAUGGAUCGCAUGCAACUCCAUAUGAGGGCGAAAAACCCUAAUUAUCAUAUGUUUAUAGGGAAAAUUCCCCCAUGUCCCCCCAUUUGUCAUAUCUCAAUUUUGGGGCGAACACCUGUUGGCAUAGAGUGUGCAUGCCUAGGACAUCAAUGAUCAAAAGAAACAAAAACAAUAAAAACAAAAAACUCAUAGAAAUAAACAGUUUAAGGGAUUGUUACAGAAAUCACUCAAUAUUCUCACACUCUAACAACAUCUUCUUCAUCAUGAGAGUCAUCACUUUCAUCAGAGGGUUCCCCUCCCAAAUAGAUGUUAGGAUUGGCUAGUAACAAGGGCAUCUGGAUAAUUGGGUCAGCAGGUGGAGGGUGUAAAAUAUUACCCUUGUAAAAUAAAUGAGGGUGUUAAAUACAACCCUUGUAGAAUGUUCAUAGGGUGGUUACUUCUUCCCCCUGUUGAGGACCCUUCACUGGCUCCAGGCAGCUGCAGGGGGUGAUGAUAUCAAGAUUCUCGUCCUGCAGGAUGUGGUGGUAGCUUGGCACGCUACUGUAGUCAGCUACUUCUCUUCCUGGUUUUUGGAUCCUUUUUCUGGUUAGGCAGAUGUCAGCUGCUUCUCGUCCUGGUCCUUGGGUACUUCUUCUGGUCAGGCAGAUGUCGGCUGCUUCUCUUCCAGGUUAGGCUCCUCCCGUCCAGCCGGACAGCGUGUGAUGUCCUCUCCGUGAUCCUGUAUGGCCCGGUCCACCUUGGUUCCGUCCACUUCCUUUUGGUGACUUUUAGCAGGACCCAGACGCCUGGCACCGAAGGCGAAGCCUCUUCGUGUGUGUAGUUUUGGUCCAAUGAAGGCUUUCUCGACUUGUGCAGUCCUUGAUCUCGGCAGAUAGUUGGUAGGAAGGCUCACACUCCGGCCGGACCAGAAGUUCCCUGAACCGAUCGCCUAGGGAUUAAAGGUUAUGCACAAAAAUGUCCUAGCUCUUACUGACCCUAGCCUCUGAUACCUUCAACAUCAGACACAUACAGUUACAAACAGCAAGCGCAAUUAAAGGUAUAGUGACAUCACGACAUGGACACACACAGACACACAAACACAUACACAUGCACAUACACAGAGAGAGAGGGAGAGAGUAAGAAUGUGUGUGGGAGAAAGAAAUGUGUGGGAUCCAUUUUGCCACCAGCAUCUCCACCUGUGUCACAGAGAAAAAAUUGCAAAGAAAUUAAAACAUAAAGCAAACAACAAUAAUUCAAUGAGUAUAAAUGAUCAAACUAAAAUAUACAACCAUGCAUGGGUUUUAUAACAGUUCCAGCAACACUGGAGAUGAUGCCUUGUACAAUGAAUUCUUAAGAUGUCCUUCAUCAAUUAGAGGUUAUAACCAAAUUGUUUCAGGAUCCUGAAUUUGAAUUUGAAUUGGUUAAUUUACUCAGAAUAGUCCAAUGUCUUUGUUGAUGUUUCUCAAGGCUCGGCCAUGCCCAUAUAGAUAAAUAAGCAAACAAACAAGACAAACACAGUCAAACACACGGUCCAUACACGUCUCUGUGCCCUCACACACCAAGCAAAUGUCAGACUGAAGCGAAAGUGUGAAAACACUUAACCUAACGCUAAAUCAGUGGAAAGAAAAAAAAUAAGACCUAAAGCGUGUAAUCAAAUUAAUCCAACAAAACUUCCCAUAACUGCCGUUCUAAACUCAUGUUGCGGUGUGAUUUCUCCAAUUAGAAAUUAGGACAACCACUUUUACUAUCAAUUCAACCAAAUAGUUUCAGGUUGUCCCUUACCUAAACUACCUGUCUUUCUUACCUUCUUUCUUUCUUUCUUUCUUUCUUUUUUAGGAACACUACUCGCACAAGAAAUCCUAAGAAUUAAUUCACUACUUAAAGUUAAUUCAUAAAUAACGAAACUGCAGUUACAGGUUUGUUUGUGCAUAGUAUUGGUAAUCAGCAGUUUUUUUCCUUAUCUCCUCAUCUAGAAGUGUUUCUGUGCUACUCCUCCAUCUAUAACACAAGUUAGUAUCAUCCUUAAAGCAUCUGAAAUUAAGCUGCAUUGCUAAAUCAAUAACGUGAUUUGUGCUAAGAAAUACUCCCCUAUCCUCUUCCUUUUUCCAGUGGCGCUGAAUGACAGAUUUUAGAUCAAUUUAACGUUUUAUCACUAUUACGUUUCAUUUAAUUAAUUUUGCUUUUUCUCUCUUAUUUUUGUCUAUUUAUUUAUUUAUGUUAUUUACUUAUUUAUCAUGCCAUCCUGUGAUGAUAAUCUUAAAGACUUUUUAGCCAAUUGUCGUCAAAACGGCCAUUUAAAAAUAUUAUGUUAAAGAUUUCACAAGAUAAAAAUGUGAACAUAAUUUUUAUCGAAUGAGGGGUACAAUUAUUCAAUAUUUUUGUGACAUUAUUUUCUACGUUAGAACUUACAGCUGAUAGAAAAAUAUAGGAUCAGCUAGGUUUGGCUAGAUCUGUUGGGAAACUCAACGGAGCUGAAACAACACUGUUGUCUCGGAUGAGAUGUUCCAUGAAUCAUUUAGUCAGCUGGAUGCCAAAUUAUUCAUUUAAUGUUUAUUUUUAUGCAAUGAAUGGAAUGGGAUGGAACGUUACUAUAAACUAUCAGGAAAUUUGCGCAUGUUUGCUCGAAGGAGAGAACUGUUGAAGCCUAAAGCGUUCUCCUAGACUUAUAAAUAGACACCGUUUCCUUAACUAAUGAAGAUAAGUGAUGACGCCGAUGAAUGACUUUUUGAAAAGAAAAUAAGGCUUUACUGCAUGUCCGCUGCAGCUGAGAAUCCUAAGACAAUAAAGAUUAUAUUGACGUCCAAUGAUGAGUUGGGCUGAAAUCCAGGUUACUAAUCCUAUUAUUUAUUUAUUUAUUGAUAUUAUUAUUAUCUUUUUUUUAGGCUAACUUUCUCAGUUAACUAUGUUCUACAGUAGUUUAGUAAAUUUUCCACAGUUCUGACAUUUCAUCAAUUCAACUGGUUGUUGCCAAAAAGCCUUGUUCAUUACCUGACUGCAGCAAGCACUCUUUUACUGGGUGUAACCAUAGGAAACAGUCUCUUUUGAGCCUCUCUUUGUAAGUCCAGGAUGACCACCGUCAUUGAUUGAAGUUCACAUGUUAGCACACAUGCUCCCCCUUUUGUACUUUGUUUCAUCAGCAGCAGGGCAAAUAAGUUUCUGCCUCUUUGUCCAUCUUGUAGUGCUCCCCGUCUUGAUGUUAUAAGUCACAGUUUUUGGUGAGGGCUUCCAGGUUCUCUUUGUAUAGAAGUCAGAGCCAAACAUUCUUUGCAGCUGGUUGUGACAGGCCCACCCAGUAAAGUUCAUGCCUCCACAAUGCACAGCAAACGUUUUCCUUAAAUAUGUUGAUUGAGUUGAAAGGACAGAACUUUCUCUUUUACAAAUCAAAAUCAACGAAGGUUUCUAAUAUUUAGUCAACUUUAUUGACUCAAAGGUAAAUCUAGACUAUUUCCUAUGCACAAUUUUUCUGACUCGUCAAAUCGGUUCUACACAGGUUUUAAACUUUAGGCACAAUCUAUCCCAAAUGCAAGAUCCCUCCUUUCAUUUUUUAUUUAUCUAUUUUAUUUUGGGAAAAUAACUACCAGUUUUUUACUCAAAACAGCCUAGUACAGUUUCUAGCCAGGUUACAGGAAAUAAUACUUAGUUUAUCUGUUUUUUCAUUAUUCAGCGUCCCAAAAUCCAGCCAUUAACGUUAAUGGUUCUUAAAGUUGAGGCAAGACAAUUAUUGGAUUUUGUUUUAUAGCAAGAUUUAACAAAUAUUUUAUUUCCUUACUGAUUAUUUGUUAAUUUUAUGGUUUUCAUAAAGAUGAUCCUGAGAGGUUCAGAGCUGCUUUUCGCAGCACCCUGUGCUAUUUUUAGACUGCGGAACUCCUGUGUGUAAAAGUGGGUGGAGUCAGGUCCCCAGGCUGAAACUCCAGUCAUUCUCACUAGAUCUGUCCGAGAGGAAGGAUCUCCUGAAUACCCUAACCAGAAGCCUUAAGUCUCUCGAACUAAAUAACCGUCUAGCAAAAACAUGGACCGCACCCUGUUUCUCAAGCAGCUGCUCCCUCUAUUAAAAACUGAGUCAUUCAGAAGAUCCAGCGAAAGCAGCUCAUGCAAGAAGACACGCAUCCACUCAUUCACAUGGCACAGACGACAUUCUUUGUUUGUCACAGUCUUUUUUUUUAAAGUAAGUCAGUUCGUCACUUAUUUAUUCUCUCUAUAUAUAUAUAAUAUUUUAAGCACAGAAUUUAUUUAACACUGCACUGGUUAUUUUCAGAAUUUAAUGCUUACUAUGCUUUUAAGCAGGCCUUAUGUAACAUUAGAGCAAAUCCAAUUGCAAUUUUUUUGAGAGCGCUCUGAGGAAUAGUUUAUAUAUUUAUUUUCUGCAGAUCUGUUUUGAUUUUACUGUUUAGCAGCUAUAUGACUAUAUUUCUAAAAUAAAGCUGUCAUUUACAUCCUUA